GGACAACCUACCCUCAGCACGGGGAUAAACCCGGGAAACUGGGUAUAAUACCCGAUAGUUCUAAGCUGCUGGAAUGCAUUUAGGACGAAAGCUCCGGCGACUGAGGAUGGGUCUGCGGCCUAUCAGGUAGUAGUGGGUGUAAUGUACCUACUAGCCUACGACGGGUACGGGUCGUGAGAGCGAGAGCCCGGAGAUGGAUUCUGAGACACGAAUCCAGGCCCUACGGGGUGCAGCAGGCGCGAAAACUUUACAAUGCUGGCAACAGCGAUAAGGGGACCUCGAGUGCCAGGAUACAAUCUUGGCUGUCGUAAUGCCUAAAAAGCAUUGCAUAGCAAGGGCCGGGCAAGACCGGUGCCAGCCGCCGCGGUAACACCGGCGGCUCGAGUGGUAACCGCUAUUAUUGGGUCUAAAGGGUCUGUAGCCGGCCGGAUAAGUCUUUUGGGAAAUCCAGCUGCUCAACAGUUGGGCUUUCAGAAGAUACUGUUCGGCUCGANGCCGGGAGAGGUGAGANGUACUUCAAGGGUANGGGUGAAAUCUUGUAAUCCUUGAAGGACCACCAGUGGCGAANGCGUUUCACCAAAACNGACCUGACGGCAANGGACNAAAGCUAGGGGGCNCGAACCCGGAUUANAUNCCCCGGGUAGUCCUAACCCUAAACGAUGCUCCCUUAGGNGUCACAACAAAUCAUGAAUUGUUUGUGGNGCCNUANGGGAAACCCCCUGAAACCAANCCCUUUGGGGAAGUNCCACCCCCAAGGUUGAAACUUAA
rnacentral:rRNA from 1 species